UAGCAUCUUCAGGGCGGGGUGUAAGUCCCCACCGGUGGUAUAGCCCACGAACCGCAAGGUUGAUUCGGUGUAACUCCGAAGCCGACAGUUAAAGUCUGGAUGGAAGAAGAAUGAU
rnacentral:ncRNA from 2 species